rnacentral:lncRNA from 1 species
UAAAUUGAUUAAACUUUAUAUUAAAAGAGAGGGGUAUUUUGGAGAUUUUGAAAAUUUCAACUACCAACUGUUCCUCUUAUUCCCAAAAAUCAUCAAAACAUAAUUUCUCUAGUUCUAGCUUAUACUCACAUUUUCAUCAAAGUAAAAAACUACUCUUGUUCUUACAAAAAUUCAUACUUGUACCUAUCCCUGGAAUAAUUAAUUUCUACUAAUACCCCAAACAAACGAAGUCAGUGUUUUUAAAAGCACCAUUGCCGGACUCAUAUAUAUAAAUAUAUAUCCAAAUCGAAAAUCAGCUCCAUUAUACUUGAUUUACACUUUUGAAAGUAUUUAAAAAGUAAAUUUUAUAAUUUUGCGACAUCAUUUAUCUAUCAAACGAGUAGUCUAAAUAUGAACGGCUAAAAAUAAAAAAUUUAUAAAAAAUGAUGAUAAAAAGCUUAAAUUUAAGAUUAGAGAUACUGAUCUUACUCUAAAUAGUGAAAAUUUUUUGUAAAAUUUCUUUUUCAGAUUUGAAUUGUUUUAUAUUGUUAAAUUUAUAAACGCAUUACAUUGACUAUUAAAAUUAUUAAUUUUAAAAUCUUUUAAUCACUAGCCAAAUAAUGUCGAAUAAUUAUGAAAUGUAGUUUUCAAACACUUUCAAAAGUAUAGAUCAAGUUUAAUGAAACAGAUCGUUGAUUUGAAAGUCGCAUUUUAUUGAAAUAAUUUGUCAGUACGGACGCCUUUCGUGUGUGUCUCUAUACACACACACAUGUAUAUAUAU